ACAUUUUGAACGUGCCACGUGAGGAUCAAGGCAAAAAAACGAGAGCAAAAAAGGUGCACGCUGAAGGCGGAAAUGAAGCAUGAUCUGGCUUGCAUCUGGUGCAUGAAGAAAUUGCUGACACGUUAGUUGCAGUCUACCUCCACCAACAGGGUGGAAAACAAAGGUCGCCAUUCCGAUUAGCUGCUAUCUCUCAGUUCAAGCACUUUUGCUGUCUGGACACUGGUUCCUGUGGAUGGGGUGUUACAAGCUUCACUGUCUGA